rnacentral:rRNA from 1 species
UACGGAGGGGGCUAGCGUUGUUCGGAAUUACUGGGCGUAAAGCGCACGUAGGCGGAUCAGUCAGUCAGGGGUGAAAUCCCGGGGCUCAACCCCGGAACUGCCUUUGAUACUGCUGGUCUUGAGGUCGAGAGAGGUGAGUGGAAUUCCGAGUGUAGAGGUGAAAUUCGUAGAUAUUCGGAGGAACACCAGUGGCGAAGGCGGCUCACUGGCGCGAUACUGACGCUGAGGAGCGAAAGCGUGGGGAGCGAACAGG